CAGCCGUAAACUAUGCUCGCUAGGUGUCAGGCAUGGCGCGACCGUGUCUGGUGCCGCAGGGAAGCCGUGAAGCGAGCCACCUGGGAAGUACGGCCGCAAGGCUGAAACUUAAAGGAAUUGGCGGGGGAGCACAACAACGGGUGGAGCCUGCGGUUUAAUUGGACUCAACGCCGGACAACUCACCGGGGACGACAGCAAUAUGUAGGCCAGGCUGAAGACCUUGCCUGAAUCGCUGAGAGGAGGUGCAUAGCGUAGACGU
rnacentral:rRNA from 1 species